rnacentral:misc_RNA from 1 species
AACGCACAUUGCGCCCCUUGGUAUUCCGAGGGGCAUGCCUGUUCGAGCGUCAUUAUGACCACUCAAGCUUAGCUUGGUAUUGAGGUUCGCGGUUCCGCGGCCUCUAAAAUCAGUGGCGGUGCCGUCUGGCUUCAAGCGUAGUAAUUUUCUCGCUAUGGAGUCUAGGUAGUUACUUGCCAAAACCUCGACUUCUCAAGGUUGACCUCGGAUCAGGUAGGGAUACCCGCUGAACUUAA